UUCGCCCUUAGAGUUUGAUUAUGGCUCAGGACGAACGCUGGCGGCGUGCCUAAUACAUGCAAGUCGAGCGGAGAUUUGAAAAGCUUGCUUUUCAAAUCUUAGCGGCGGACGGGUGAGUAACACGUGGGCAACCUGCCCUUGAGACGGGGAUAACUCCGGGAAACCGGAGCUAAUACCGGAUAACACAUAUCUUCGCAUGAUGAUAUGUUAGAAGGUGGCUUUUAGCUACCACUCAAGGAUGGGCCCGCGGCGCAUUAGCUAGUUGGUGAGGUAACGGCUCACCAAGGCGACGAUGCGUAGCCGACCUGAGAGGGUGAUCGGCCACACUGGGACUGAGACACGGCCCAGACUCCUACGGGAGGCAGCAGUAGGGAAUCUUCCGCAAUGGACGAAAGUCUGACGGAGCAACGCCGCGUGAGUGAUGAAGGUUUUCGGAUCGUAAAGCUCUGUUGCUAGGGAAGAACAAGUACCUGUUAAAUAAGCAGGUACCUUGACGGUACCUAACCAGAAAGCCACGGCUAACUACGUGCCAGCAGCCGCGGUAAUACGUAGGUGGCAAGCGUUGUCCGGAAUUAUUGGGCGUAAAGCGCGCGCAGGCGGUUCCUUAAGUCUGAUGUGAAAGCCCACGGCUCAACCGUGGAGGGUCAUUGGAAACUGGGGAACUUGAGUGCAGAAGAGGAGAGCGGAAUUCCACGUGUAGCGGUGAAAUGCGUAGAGAUGUGGAGGAACACCAGUGGCGAAGGCGGCUCUCUGGUUUGUAACUGACGCUGAGGCGCGAAAGCGUGGGGAGCGAACAGGAUUAGAUACCCUGGUAGUCCACGCCGUANACGAUGAGUGCUAAGUGUUAGAGGGNUUUCGCCCUUUAGUGCUGCAGCAAACGCAUUAAGCACUCCGCCUGGGGAGUACGGGUCGCAGACUGAAACUCNAAGGAAUUGACGGGGACCCNGCACAGCGGUGGAGCAUGUGGUUUAAUUCGAAGCACGCGAAGAACCUUACCNAGUCUGACAUCUCUGCUACUCUAGAGAUAGAAGUUCCCUCGGGGACGAGUGACAGUGGUGCAUGGUGUCGUC
rnacentral:rRNA from 1 species